rnacentral:lncRNA from 1 species
UCUCGAGUCAGUUCUAACAAAGAGAUACUCAUAAACAUUAUCAUUUCUUCAGUUGAUCUUCCUUUCCAAUAAUACAGAUCCACUGUCACCUUCGUCAAAAGCACAAAUAAUAUUAAUUCUGAUAUACAACUUCACUACCUCUUCCAGACGUCCAGGCAUGGCAGACCCGGAGCACCAUACCCCAUAUAUUAUAUGGAGCACAUUUGAGAUUAUUACAUCGAUCUUAUAUAUUUCCUUGGCCUGGGAAUAGUGGCCACCAGCAAAUCAAAUCUUCUUGGCUGAAUCCCGUAGACAUUCCGGAUCAAUGUAUUCGUUGUUUUGCUUACAACGAUCACAUUCUCUCCUUCGAUGUUUUUCUCGAUUUGAUUACGAAGAAAGACGACUUUGCCAUUCAGUACCAAAACAACUUCUCCUUCAGAUUAAUGGAUGGGCUUCUCAUACCAACAUUUGGACUAUUUAUCAUGUCUUCGUUGGAUGGGAGCUCCAGCCAUUGAAGUCUUCAUCAAAGUUACCGUACAAUUUGGGAAUUUAACAAUUCUAAAACAGGAAAAUGAAAUUUUGAGGUGUGGUUGAUGUCCUAGCAUUCUAGGCUUGUCCAAUUGUAGUCGGAUGAUGUUUUUUAAAUAGGACAUCCUCGAACAUCCCUGAGUUUAAAUUUGUUGGGUCAUCUGGUCCUAUUAAAGGAAGUGUUACUUUUAGGAUGGAAGUAUUUACAUCUGUACCCAAUAAAUGUUGUGAGUUUUCACACAUUUUAAUUGUUCGUUUGAUCCAUAGAUAUUCUAUUUUCGAAGAGCAAUAUGAGAUUUAAGCUUUUCCAAACCCUUUCUGAAUUGGUGAGUCACAAGUUCCACUCUUGUAUGCGAACAUCCAUUGGUUUUUGAAAUAUAGGAUAUCUUUGAGUACCACAGAAAACUCCUUGAGAUAUCAAAUUCUCCUUGUAUAAGAGGUCCAUAUGAGUUAUGUUUUGUUGAGAUAUGGAGUGUAAGUCUUUUUCGAAAUCAACGAGUAAGAUAGUGUUAUCCUUUCCCUUUUAUUAUGUUAUCCAUGGUUUCUUGGAUAGAAUGAGGAAUGCACUCCGCGUAUUUACCUUUCAUAAAGCCUUCAGUUCAAUUAGUAUAUAUAACGUUUUCUUCAGUAUACCAUUGACAAUUUUAUAAGUUGUGUUGAAUGACAUUAUAGGGAUUUAGUCUGAUUAAUUAAGAUGAUUUUUUCGUCUGUUUUUUUAAAAGUAAAGUAAGUAUUUGUAAGUAUAAAAUUUGGUUUUAUACAGUUUUUGAAGAUUUUUUCUUCACUAAUUUUAAGAGUGGGGCAAGUUUUCUUACAAAUUUCUUAUAAAAUUCAUACUUCAAACCCGAUAUUCCCUUCGAUUUAUAUUUCUUUUAUAUACGUGCCAUGUUUUUCCACAUAAAUAGUAUGUCCAUUACAGUUCAGAUGCUCAAAUUUUUUGUUAACUUUUUCUUGACAAAAGGAACAUUUAUUCUCCCCGUAAAUUUUUUGACAUUUAUACAGACUUGAGUAGAACAUUGUGAUCUCAUCUGUUAUUUCAUCUGGAUCAUUUGAUUAUCUCAAUACUUAAGUCAUAGAGUGCAUUUUCCUUU